AUUGGAUUUCCAACUUGAAGAGGGAGGAUUUGCCAUCAAACUUCUGACCAGAGAAAAAACCUGUCAUCGAUCCAUUACUCUCUGCUUCGCAUAGUGCACUGGUCGUCACCAUAAUGGAUAAUAGCACAUUGUGACAAACACCAGUUACAGCACUUGGACUUGCUCAACAGCCGAUACCGCACCAUUGUGUGGAAAUCAGAGGGCGCACAAGAUCUCCUGGGAGCAUGAGCUGACUGCUACACCUGUCUUCAAUCUGCUCAUCAGGAGACUCCUUCUUAAGGAGGCGGAGACUGACACUCCAGUGCCAGAGUGUUAGCCAGUAAUGGUACAGAACCUGACCUGUCUGAAAACCUGAAACCGGAAAAGUUACUCAGUCUAGAAUCUGCCUGCCUGUAUUCGGUCAGUCUCUGCCUUAGCCCUCAGCCCUCUGCCUGCCGACAAACCUCUGGACCCUCAGGGGAACCCCCCUCCUGCUGAUCUGUUCAGCCCCAGAACAAAGGGCGCCUGAGAUCUUCCUCCUGAGGGCAUGAGCUCACUUCCACACACCUGUUUCCUGUCUCCUCAUCAAGAAGACCUAUUUAAGGAAGAGGAGGCUGACACUUCCCUGCCAGAGUGUUUGCCAGUAAUGAUCCUGAUUUUUCUGGAAACCUGGAAUCCUGGAGAAAGUAUCUUGGUCUGAAAUCUGCCUGCCUGCACUCUGUCUCAGUCUCUGCCUCAGCCCUCAGCCCUCUGCCUGCCGACUAGCCUCUGGACUCACAAGGUUCCCCCCCUGCUGAUCAGUAUCCUCUCUGAGCAGGUAUUAAUCCCCGUCGUCUGAAAUCUGCACGUUUCCUGGAUCUACACUAACUGCUCUGUCCUCCUCAGUGGCUUCCCUCCCGUGACCAGUCAGAAGAACCCAGUUCCUGUGACCAUUUAACUUGUAAAAAUU